CUUGGUUGAUCCUGCCAGAGGUUACUGCUAUCGAGAUUCGACUAAGCCAUGCGAGUUGAAUGUUCUUCGGAACAUGGCGGACUGCUCAGUAACACGUGGACAACCUACCCUUGGGUCCGGCAUAAUCCUGGGAAACUGGGAAUAAUUCCGGAUAGGUCACCGAUGCUGGAAUGCGCGGUGGCCGAAAGCUCCGGCGCCCGAGGAUGGGUCUGCGGCCUAUCAGGUUGUAGUGGGUGUAACGUACCUACUAGCCUACGACGGGUACGGGUUGUGAGAGCAAGAGCCCGGAGAUGGAUUCUGAGACACGAAUCCAGGCCCUACGGGGUGCAGCAGGCGCGAAAACUUUACAAUGCGGGAAACCGUGAUAAGGGGAUCUCGAGUGCCAGCAUAUAAUGUUGGCUGUCCAGAUGCCUAAAAAGCAUUGUUAGCAAGGGCCGGGCAAGACCGGUGCCAGCCGCCGCGGUAACACCGGCGGCCCGAGUGGUAACCGCUAUUAUUGGGUCUAAAGGGUCUGUAGCCGGCCAGGUAAGUCCCUUGGGAAAUCUGGCAGCUCAACUGUCAGGCUGCUAGGGGAUACUGUUUGGCUUGGGACCGGGAGAGGUGAGAGGUACCUUGGGGGUAGGGGUGAAAUCUUGUGAUCCUCGAGGGACCACCAGUGGCGAAGGCGUCUCACCAGAACGGGUCCGACGGUAACGGACGAAAGCUAGAGGCACGAACCAGAUUACAUACCCGGGUAGUCCUAUCCGUAAACGAUGCUCCCUAGGUGUCAGUCACGGUGCGACCGUGAUUGGUGCCGUAGGGAAACGCUGAAGCGAGCCACCUGGGAAGUAUGGCCGCAAGGCUGAAACUUAAAGGAAUUGGCGGGGGAGCACUACAACGGGUGGAGCUUGCGGUUUAAUGUUAUUCAACGCCGAAAAUCUCACUGGGGGCGACAGCGAUAUGAAGGUCAGGGUGAAGACUUAACCGGAUUAGCUGAGAGGUGAGGCAUGGCCGUCGUCAUUUCGUACUGUGAAGCAUCGUGUUAAGUCAGGCAAGGAGAGAGACGAGCAUCCACAGUUCCCAGCAUAUUCUCUUGAAUGAUGGGUACACUGUGGAGACCGCCGCUGCUAAAGCAAAGGAAGGAGUGGGCAGCGGUAGGUCAGUAUGCCCCGAAUCUCCCGGGCUACACGCGGGCUACAAUGGUUGGUACAAUGGGCAUCUACCCCGAAAGGGGAAGGAAAUCUCUUAAAACCAAUCGUAGUUCGGAUUGAGGGCUGCAACUCGCCCUCAUGAAGCUGGAAUCCGUAGUAAUCGCGUUUCAACAGAACGCGGUGAAUACGUCCCUGCUCCUUGCACACACCGCCCGUCAAACCACCCGAGUAGGGUCUGGAUGAGGGUGUGUUUUAUUGACACAUUCGAAUCUGGGCUUUGCAAGGGGGGUU
rnacentral:rRNA from 1 species